rnacentral:rRNA from 1 species
AGAGUUUGAUCCUGGCUCAGGAUGAACGCUAGCUACAGGCUUAACACAUGCAAGUCGAGGGGCAGCAUCAUCAAAGCUUGCUUUGAUGGAUGGCGACCGGCGCACGGGUGAGUAACACGUAUCCAACCUGCCGACAACACUGGGAUAGCCUUUCGAAAGAAAGAUUAAUACCGGAUGGCAUAAUUAUUCCGCAUGGGAUAAUUAUUAAAGAAUUUCGGUUGUCGAUGGGGAUGCGUUCCAUUAGGCAGUUGGCGGGGUAACGGCCCACCAAACCUACGAUGGAUAGGGGUUCUGAGAGGAAGGUCCCCCACAUUGGAACUGAGACACGGUCCAAACUCCUACGGGAGGCAGCAGUGAGGAAUAUUGGUCAAUGGACGAGAGUCUGAACCAGCCAAGUAGCGUGAAGGAUGACUGCCCUAUGGGUUGUAAACUUCUUUUAUACGGGAAUAAAGUUAGCCACGUGUGGCUUUUUGUAUGUACCGUAUGAAUAAGGAUCGGCUAACUCCGUGCCAGCAGCCGCGGUAAUACGGAGGAUCCGAGCGUUAUCCGGAUUUAUUGGGUUUAAAGGGAGCGUAGGCGGGUUGUUAAGUCAGUUGUGAAAGUUUGCGGCUCAACCGUAAAAUUGCAGUUGAUACUGGCGACCUUGAGUGCAACAGAGGUAGGCGGAAUUCGUGGUGUAGCGGUGAAAUGCUUAGAUAUCACGAAGAACUCCGAUUGCGAAGGCAGCUUACUGGAUUGUAACUGACGCUGAUGCUCGAAAGUGUGGGUAUCAAACAGGAUUAGAUACCCUGGUAGUCCACACAGUAAACGAUGAAUACUCGCUGUUGGCGAUAUACGGUCAGCGGCCAAGCGAAAGCAUUAAGUAUUCCACCUGGGGAGUACGCCGGCAACGGUG